UCUUCUUUACGGAACGCGCCUAAAUACAUCGUAGGAAGAGGCGAGGAUGACCACAUCGCAUUCUUUGACCUCGCCAGCUGCAGAGAAGAUGGACGUCACACAGGGAAACAGGGCUCCGGCGAAUUCAUGGGGUGAGGUCGUCUCGGAGGCGGUGUUGCGUCGAUACCGUUCACUCACGAAGAAAGGGAAGCCUCAAGGAAGGGAGACAACUGUGCUCGCUGCCUUCCUCCUCUCGUGUCCUCCUUCUCAAGAACUCAGAGUUGUAGCAUUGGGCACUGGAACAAAAUGCCUUGGAAGCUCACUUUUGAGUCCACAGGGUGAUCUUGUAAAUGAUUCACAUGCAGAAGUAAUUGCAAGACGAUCACUGCUAAGGUUUUUUUAUGCAGAGAUAGGUCGCAUCAACACUACAAUGUCUGAUACCAAUUGCCUGCUUUUUGAGAUUGCAACUGAUGCUCGAGGAGACAUGAAAUACAAGAUGAAGGUUGGAUGGCAAUUGCAUUUAUAUAUCAGCCAGUUGCCAUGUGGAGAUGCCUCAGAUGUGGGAAAUGUUCUCAUGUGCUCUAAUCCCAAAUGCAGAACUAAUUGUUUGGCUCCCAAAGAGAUCGGUGGGCUAACAAGUUCUUCUUCACCUACUCAACAUAUUAGAAUGGUUAGAAAAAAGCCUGGUCGUGGUGAUACAACCUUGUCUAUGAGCUGUUCCGAUAAGAUAGCACGUUGGAACGUAGUAGGCGUCCAAGGGGCUUUGCUUUCUCAUUUUAUUCCACAACCUAUAUACUUGUCAUCCAUAACUAUCGGACGGGGACCUGGUUGUUUGGAUUCAUCCUGUGCACUCAGUUCCAGGUCGGUCAGCUUGGAUAAUGUAAGAAGGAUAGUAUACGAUUCUGUUCUUCCAUUAUCCGGCAAACUACCAUGCCCUUUUCGGGUAACUAAACCUAUUAUUUGGGAGGCUCCAGUUCCGCCUGCAGAAUUUCAGAAAUCCUCCACUGAUGGACCCAGCCUGACAUGCGGAUAUUCUAUAAGUUGGAAUAUGUCUAGGUUACAUGAAGUGAUUCUUGGAACAACUGGCAGAAAACAGGGUACCUCAGCAAAAGGGACACUUUUUCGAUCUACUGAGUCAUCCUUGUGCAAGAGACGUCUAUUGGAACUUUUUGUCAUGUACUCUGAUGUACCUGAGGCUAAGACUAUGUCUUAUCACGAACUGAAGUCUAUGGCUUCUCUAUACAGAUCCGCAGUGCAGGUUUUGAAUGAUAAUGAACCUUUCCAAAAUUGGACUAAGAAGCCUGUGGAACUGGAAAUGUUUUAUCUGUAAUUGAAAGGCCAUUCCAGGCUCUAGGGAUAACGGUUUUUUUCUCAUAUGUGGCAAUGAGGUGAAGACUACUCAGAAGGACCUGGUGGAGGCUAUGAGAAAGAGGGCAUCUACUUCCUACAGGAUCCAGUGGGUAUUACAACAUCAUCGAUCACCUCAUUGUCGUCCUCUUUCUAAUGGCAUCUCAGACUUGGUCAUCCAUCUGUCUCCAAGCUCCGUCAUUUUCUUCCUCAUCUUUCAGUACCAGAGUCGUUCCAGUAUGAAGCCUGUCAACUUGGCAAACACAUCUGUAGCAAUUAUUCAUCAAGUCUUAGUCCGUCCAGUUGUGGACUAUUUGAUCUUCUUCAUGUUGAUGUGUGAGGUCCUAGCAGAGUUGCUAGUAGGUCAAGAUUUUGUUAUUUCCUUGUUGUUGAUGAUUAUUCUCGAGUCACUUGGGUCUUCCUUUUG